UCCCCGCUGGCGCAGAGGUUAAAGCGUCUGCCUCCAAUGCGGGAGGACCUGGGUUCGAUCCCUGGGUCGGGAA
rnacentral:tRNA from 1 species